AAAAUGGACUUGGUGGGUCUUUGAAUUUAAAUAAAAUAAACAUGUAUAUGCAACACAAAAUAUUUAUAUUCCUUGUGUAAACAUAAUUUAAUUGAUUAGGAUGAAAAUGUUUUGUUUGAAUGUAAAAUGAACACAUUAUUCUCACAUUGAUUAAAAUUGAUUGAAUUGAAUACUUAAAGCAAUAAAAUUGAGUUUGCACACAAAAUGGCACCUCCUGAGCAGAAGGUGGCAGUAACGCUCAAUAGAAAGGACGUCAAUCGCCAUAAAAGAAGAAUAAACAUCGUUUGUUUUGGGCGCCAAAAUGAAGACUCAGCAGCAGUCAGUCAGAAGAACUCUCUCAGACGGACACCACGUUAUUAAACUCCAUCAUCCUUGCAUGCGCUACACACUCAAAAGCAUUGAUAAAUGCUGAAUUUAAAAGAAUCACUACUGUCUUAUGUUCCUGCGUGUCACCUGGACCUCCAAUCCAAAAACCUGACGAAACUCUUCUAUCAGAAAGGAGGACAGCUAGCAAAAAGACUUCAAACAAUGAAUGAUCAAAUGACAGAAGUAAGUAAUAUAGAUUCAUAGACAUAAAAAUGUGUAAACAUUGUUGGAAGUACAGAAAAUGUAGUAUGUUUUAGUUACAUCUUUUGGCACACGGGUCAUUAAAACACCUGGGAAGAUUUAAAGCGGUAGUUCACCCAAAAAUAAAAAUUCUCAUCACUUACUCCCUAUCAUGUUGUUACAAACCUUUAUAAAUGUCU